AUUCAGCUGAAGAGUCGCAAAUAGAACGAAACGCAUGUCCUGGGU
rnacentral:hammerhead_ribozyme from 1 species